CUGGGUGACUUUGAGUGAGUCCUUUUCCCAUCCUGGGCCUGAGAGAUAAAAGGCUUGAAUUCCGUAUUGCCACAGCAUCAUGCUCCAAUCAUGAGAAAUAACUCAGUGAUGCGUGUGUGGAGGGGGAGGGCCCGUGCAUAUGUGAUAGAGAGAGAGAGGUGGGGGGGAUUCCUCCAAGCACACAUGGGCCCAUUUAACCAGAUUCUGCUUCACCUUCUUUUCUUUAAUCCCCAGAGAUGUGGCUUGCUCAGUGAACUGCCACUAAGUGCUCCCUAGGCACCCACUGGUGUCAGGUCCUCUGCUGGGGCCUACAGACGGGUCCCUUCCUUGAAGGGCUCAUGCCUGACGAUCAUUAGCAAAGCCUUCCUGUGUCUAAAGGAUCGCUUACUCCCUGUUUGCUCAGAGCUCAGGAGGCACAGCCUCACUAGAAGGUUUGGAAAGCACCCUGCGGUGGAAGGUGGCCCUGCCAGCCCCUCUGCAAAAGGGGGCAUAGGCACACAAUUUUGCACAUCGUUUCCAGGGGCUCAAGGAUGUCCCUCACCAGCCCAUCUCCUUUGAGGAACCCUCAAUGUGAUUCAACUCCGGGGUUUUGCAGAUGAGGAAACUGAGGCAGAGAAAGAAUGUGCCUUGCCGAAGAAUGAGAAUAUCUGAGCUGUGCAAGCAAAUGGUAUGGGCCAGCAUCUAGAACUGCAGCUCAGGAAGGAGAACUCAAGCAGAGCUGAAAAGCCUAUGAGGAAGACAGAUGGCAAGAGGAGUCGGCUGAAUAGCGGCACCCAAAGACAGCAGGUCCUAAUCCUGGAGCUGUAAAUGUGACCUCAUUUGGAGAAAAAAAAAAAAAAGUCUUUGCAGAUGUGAUUAAGUUAGAGAAUCUGAGAUGGGGAGAUUAUCCUGGAUGAUCAGGGUGUGUCCUAAAUGCAAUCACAAGUGUCCUUACAAGAGACGGGCAGAGGGAAAUUUGACACACAGAAGAGAGACAGUGAUGGGAAUUGAGAAAGAUCUGAAGAUGCUGAUAUUGAAGAUCGGAGUGAUGAGGCCACAAGCCAAAGGAUGCUAGCAGCUCCCAGAAUCUGGAAGAAGUGAGAAUAAAUUUUCCUCUAAAGCCUCCAGAGGAAGCACAGCCCUGCCGGCUCCUUGAUUUUAGCCCAGUGAUGCUGAUUUUUGACUUCUGUCCUCCAGAACUGUGAAAUAAACCUCUGUUGUUUUAAGCCACCAAGUUUGGGGUGAUUUGUUACAGCAGCCACAGGAAAACCAGCCAGUAUAGUGGCUCGUGAGGCCCAUUUUACUUUUGAGGAAAUACAGACCCAGAGAGCAGCAGUGAUUUGCACAGAGCCACACAGCACAUUAGCCCCUUUGGCCGAGGCCAGACCAGGUUAACAGACCCUGAACCACUGCGCUCCUGCUUCCAUCUGCCCCGCCUCCUCCUGGCCAUGCUGGGACUGCUGGGAGGUCUUAGACCUGAGAUGCCUCUAGUUUCCACAGUGGUGUGUAGUUGCCCCCAGGCGAAUCUUGCUGGUGCCAAGCCCCAACCUGUGGCCACCAUUGCCCUCAACCAGGAUGCGCUCC
rnacentral:lncRNA from 1 species